rnacentral:rRNA from 1 species
AGAGUUUGAUCCUGGCUCAGAGCGAACGUUAGCGGCGGGCUUAACACAUGCAAGUCGAGCGAGAAAAGUCCCUUCGGGGGCUGAGUAAAGCGGCGCACGGGUGCGUAACACGUAGGUAAUCUACCCUCGGGCGGGGGAUAACGUUUCGAAAGAGACGCUAAUACCGCAUAAGACCACGACCACUACGGUGGAUGUGGGAAAAGAUGGCCUCUCCAUGGAAGCUAUCACCUGAGGAUGAGCCUGCGGCCCAUCAGCUUGUUGGUGAGGUAACGGCUCACCAAGGCGAAGACGGGUAGCUGGUCUGAGAGGAUGAUCAGCCACACUGGCACUGGAACACGGGCCAGACUCCUACGGGAGGCAGCAGUGGGGAAUAUUGGACAAUGGGCGCAAGCCUGAUCCAGCCACGCCGCGUGAGUGAUGAAGGCCUUCGGGUUGUAAAGCUCUGUGGGGAGGGACGAAAA